rnacentral:rRNA from 1 species
UACAGAGGUGGCAAGCGUUGUUCGGAAUUACUGGGCGUAAAGGGCGCGUAGGCGGUUCGAUAAGUCCCGUGUGAAAUCCCUCGGCUCAACCGGGGAACUGCGUCUGAUACUGGGUGGCUUGAAUUCGGGAGAGGGAUGCGGAAUUCCAGGUGUAGCGGUGAAAUGCGUAGAUAUCUGGAGGAACACCGGUGGCGAAGGCAGCCCCCUGGGCUAACACUGACGCUCAUGCACGAAAGCGUGGGGAGCAAACAGG